UACGAAGGGGGCUAGCGUUGUUCGGAAUCACUGGGCGUAAAGGGCGCGUAGGCGGCCGAUCAAGUCGGGGGUGAAAUCCUGGAGCUCAACUCCAGAACUGCCUUCGAUACUGUAGAGCUUGAGUUCGGGAGAGGUGAGUGGAACUGCGAGUGUAGAGGUGAAAUUCGUAGAUAUUCGCAAGAACACCAGUGGCGAAGGCGGCUCACUGGCCCGAUACUGACGCUGAGGUGCGAAAGCGUGGGGAGCAAACAGG
rnacentral:rRNA from 1 species